rnacentral:rRNA from 1 species
GGGCUUGUAUGAACGGACAAACGAAGGCUUAACUGUCUCUUAAAUAAAAAUAAAAAUUGGCCUUUAGGUGAAAAGACCUAAAUAAAAUUAGAGGACAAAAAGACCCCGUAGAGCUUCGUACUUUCACUAAAAUACAUUUUAUAAAGAUUAUAAAACUUACUUUAAAAAAAGUUCUUGGCUGGGGCGGCUAUGGAGCAAAAAACCUCCACAAACAAUAAAAGACACCACAAGUCUUACUUUAUGAUCCUAAAUUAGAUCAAAGAAAAUAGCUACCUCGGGGAUAACAGAUUA